CUCUUAUCCAGAGAGGUGGAGGGACCGGCCCUGCGAAGCCUCGGCAACCUACCUGCUUAUUGAUAGCGGUGUGGUGCGAAUUCCGACAGACGGAGUGUCUGGAAGAUGAGAG
rnacentral:ncRNA from 2 species